UGAUUUUGCAAUUUAACACCUUGAAAUUGGGUCUCUGUCUCUUUAAGAAGCUUUACACACUCCUUCUAUAGAACAUAAUCACAACAAUAUUCGUACAUUAUUCUGUCUACAACUGUUCUUAGGACCAUGGGACUGAGAAGUAGUUAACACAACAAGCUCAGCAGACUUGCAAUUCCACCAGGUGUUUGGUAAUCGCUGCUGCCACUAGUCUGGAGGAGCCGAACGGGGGAGUCGAGGGGUAGUGGUGCUCUGUGGGGCAGAAGUUUGACUGUAGCCUGGAGCUUAGGUGAGGUUUUGGAUAAAUAGGCAACACACUGUAUCAGCAAGUGUUUAGACACCUCUGAAUGGUUGCCAUGGAGAAUUAAAGGAUUCUCAAACAUGCAUGAAAGAAUCAAGGGAACACUGCCUGGUUUCGUCUGAGGGCGUCCUAUACAGGCUCGGGGAAAUAAGAGGAACCGUUUCCCCAAGACUAAACCCCCACGCAGAGUCUUCACCUCCCAAGCCCUCCAUCAUUCUCCCCAGACAACCAAAUCAACAUCAUUCCUCCCUUCACCCAUUCAUCAAUACAUCUUUAAACAAA